rnacentral:lncRNA from 1 species
AUUUUUAGAGGUUUUUGUAAUUACAAAUGCAUGCAGGUCCGCCUCUGGUAACUUGAAAAUCCAAAGGCAGCAGAUAACACAGGAGGAAAUUAUGUGGGUGGGUGGUGAUUGAGAAGAAGAAGAAGAAGAAGAAUUGGACUAGAUUUGAUUUGAUUUAGUGAUUUAAAAAAUGGAAUAACCCACAUUGAAAAUAAUUGGGCAUUGAAGGUGCCAAUGUAAUAAUGUACAGUAUAGUGUGAAA